rnacentral:rRNA from 1 species
GCGAAUAAGGGGUGGGCAAGUCUGGUGUCAGCCGCCGCGGUAAUACCAGCACCUCGAGUGGUCAGGACGAUUAUUGGGCCUAAAGCAUCCGUAGCUGGUCUUGCAAGUCUCCGGUUAAAUCCACCUGCUCAACAGAUGGGCCGCUGGAGAUACUACAAGACUAGGGAGUGGGAGAGGCAGACGGUACUCGGGGGGUAGGGGUAAAAUCCUCUGAUCCUUUGAAGACCACCAGUGGCGAAGGCGGUCUGCCAGAACACGUUCGACAGUGAGGGAUGAAAGCUGGGGGAGCAAACCGGAUUAGAUACCCGGGUAGUCCCAGCUGUAAACGAUGCAGACUCGGUGAUGCAUUGGCUUCUUGCCAAUGCAGUGCCGCAGGGAAGCCGUUAAGUCUGCCGCCUGGGAAGUACGGUCGCAAGAUUGAAACUUAAAG